rnacentral:rRNA from 1 species
AGAGUUUGAUCCUGGCUCAGGAUUAAUGCUGACGGCGUGCCUAAUCUAUGCAAGUUUUUGUCUUGUAGCAAUACAAGACAAGGCAGACGAGUGAGUAACGCGUAGGAACCAACCUUUAAGUUGGGAAUAACCUUGGGAAACCGGGGAUAAUACCCAAUAGUCUCGCAAGAGUAAAGCUUCGGCGCUUAAAGACGGGCCUGCGUCCUAUCAGCUAGUUGGUAAGGUAAUGGCUUACCAAGGCUAUGACGGGUAGGGGGCGUUAGAGCGUGUACCCCCACGAUGGCACUGAGAUACGGGCCAUACACCUACGGGUGGCAGCAAGUAGGAAUCUUGCGCAAUGGUCGCCUUUUGGCGACUGACGCAGCGACGCCGUGUGAAGGAAGAAGAUUUUCGGAUCGUAAACUUACAUUAAAAAGGAGCGGCUAACUUCGUGCCAGCAGCAGCGGUAAUACGGGGGCUCCAAGCAUUAUCCGGUCUUAUUGGGCGUAAAGAGUUCUGUAGGUGGUGAAAUAAGUUAUGGGUGAAAUCCUUCGGCUUAACCGAAGUUGUGCUCGUAAUACUGUUUCACUAGAGAAAGGUAGGGGAGGGUAGAACGCAUGGUGUAGUGGUUAAAUACGUUGAUAUCAUGCGGAAUACCAAAGGCGUAGGCAACCCUCUGGGCCUUUUCUGACACUAAGAGACGAAAGCGUGGGGAGCAAAACGGAUUAGAUACCCGUGUAGUCCACGCUGUAAACGAUGUUCACUAGAUCCGUAGUUCGUCAUUGACGGACCGCGAGUCGUAGCUAACGCAUUAAGUGAACCGCCUGGGAAUUACGGCCGCAAGGCUAAAACUCAAAGGAAUUGACGGGGACCCGCACAAGCGGUGGAGCGCCUGCUUUAAUACGAUGAUAAACGCAGAACCUUACCGAGGUUUGACAUGCUACUGCAUCCCUGCAGAAACGUAGGGAGUCCUUCGAGGGUGUAGCACAGGUAUUGCAUGGCUGUUGUCAGCUCGUGUCGUGAGAUGUACCGUUAAGUCGGGUAACGAGCGCAACCCUUUUCGUUAGUUGUAUCACUCUAGCGAUACUGCCCGGGCAACCGGGAGGAAGGAGAGGAUGACAACAAGUCAGCAUGGUCUUUAUGCCUCGGGCUAGACGGACGCUACAAUGGGUGGAACAAUGGGAAGCAACACGGUGACGUGAAGCAAAUCUCUUAAAUUCACCCCCAGUUCAGAUUGAGGGCUGAAAUUCGCCCUCAUGAAGUUGGAAUCGCUAGUAAUCGCUGGUCAGCUAUACAGCGGUGAAUACGUUCUCGGGUCUUGUACACACCGCCCGUCAGGUCAGCAGAGUUGGAAAUACCCGACACCCGCAUUUUUUUGCGGUCUAAGGUAGGUCUAAUGAUGAGGAUUAAGUCGAAACAAGGUA